rnacentral:rRNA from 1 species
GACGAACGCUGGCGGCGUGCCUAAUACAUGCAAGUAGAACGCUGAAGGAGGAGCUUGCUUCUCUGGAUGAGUUGCGAACGGGUGAGUAACGCGUAGGUAACCUGCCUGGUAGCGGGGGAUAACUAUUGGAAACGAUAGCUAAUACCGCAUAAGAGUAGAUGUUGCAUGACAUUUGCUUAAAAGGUGCAAUUGCAUCACUACCAGAUGGACCUGCGUUGUAUUAGCUAGUUGGUGAGGUAACGGCUCGCCAAGGCGACGAUACAUAGCCGACCUGAGAGGGUGAUCGGCCACACUGGGACUGAGACACGGCCCAGACUCCUACGGGAGGCAGCAGUAGGGAAUCUUCGGCAAUGGACGGAAGUCUGACCGAGCAACGCCGCGUGAGUGAAGAAGGUUUUCGGAUCGUAAAGCUCUGUUGUAAGAGAAGAACGAGUGUGAGAGUGGAAAGUUCACACUGUGACGGUAUCUUACCAGAAAGGGACGGCUAACUACGUGCCAGCAGCCGCGGUAAUACGUAGGUCCCGAGCGUUGUCCGGAUUUAUUGGGCGUAAAGCGAGCGCAGGCGGUUAGAUAAGUCUGAAGUUAAAGGCUGUGGCUUAACCAUAGUACGCUUUGGAAACUGUUUAACUUGAGUGCAAGAGGGGAGAGUGGAAUUCCAUGUGUAGCGGUGAAAUGCGUAGAUAUAUGGAGGAACACCGGUGGCGAAAGCGGCUCUCUGGCUUGUAACUGACGCUGAGGCUCGAAAGCGUGGGGAGCAAACAGGAUUAGAUACCCCGGUAGUCCACGCCGUAAACGAUGAGUGCUAGGUGUUAGACCCUUUCCGGGGUUUAGUGCCGCAGCUAACGCAUUAAGCACUCCGCCUGGGGAGUACGACCGCAAGGUUGAAACUCAAAGGAAUUGACGGGGGCCCGCACAAGCGGUGGAGCAUGUGGUUUAAUUCGAAGCAACGCGAAGAACCUUACCAGGUCUUGACAUCCCUCUGACCGCUCUAGAGAUAGAGUUUUCCUUCGGGACAGAGGUGACAGGUGGUGCAUGGUUGUCGUCAGCUCGUGUCGUGAGAUGUUGGGUUAAGUCCCGCAACGAGCGCAACCCCUAUUGUUAGUUGCCAUCAUUCAGUUGGGCACUCUAGCGAGGCUGCCGGUAAUAAACCGGAGGAAGGUGGGGAUGACGUCAAAUCAUCAUGCCCCUUAUGACCUGGGCUACACACGUGCUACAAUGGCUGGUACAACGAGUCGCAAGCCGGUGACGGCAAGCUAAUCUCUUAAAGCCAGUCUCAGUUCGGAUUGUAGGCUGCAACUCGCCUACAUGAAGUCGGAAUCGCUAGUAAUCGCGGAUCAGCACGCCGCGGUGAAUACGUUCCCGGGCCU